UCGGUCAGCCAUUGAGGGCCUGGCUGAGGCUGAGGAGGCGCUGAGACAUGGCGUGCAGCCUGCUGGUGGCGCCCCUCCCGAGAUGAGGAGUGAUGCUCGAGUGCAGUAACGUUUGCCCUCCUUCUCGCCUGCAAAAGGCCAAUGCAUCAACUGCUCGUGAAGUUACCAUUCCUCUGUAAUUAUCCGGGACCUGUUUUCCCGUUGCUCGUCCCAUUUUGUGUCACUAAUGACUUGUUGUUGUUGAGGUGUUCAGCUUAUCCGGUUACAUGAGGCUGGUAAAUGGCGACACAAAUGUCUUUAAUGAAGUUCAUCGAGAACGCUUUUCAAACACUCUUAGACUAUCCAGACGUCCUGAAAAUUUUGUGCGUCGAUCUUAAAGUGAAUGCGAUAAGAUUUGUGUUACAGUACCGAGCCAGCGUUAAUAUGACAAGCUCAUGUGAGAAAAAUUAAAUUCUUGGCGUCUGUUUUCCAAGUAUUGGCGAUUUUUAAAUGUUUUCGCUCCCGUGCACAGUUAUUCUGCUAAUAUCACUGUGAGCUUAUCUUCUGAUUUCAAUUUAUUAGAUGACUGAAUAUGUACGCCUCUGAAUUUCUUUAUCGUCACUGCGUCUAGAUUUGGGAGUCUAUUUCAACAACCAAAUCAGAAGUUAAAGUGGAGUCGGUGAAAACAAAGUUGGUUGAGUGCCACUACGGAAAAUACUGUAUAAUAAGGCACUUUAUUGCUAUCUUGAAUGGUCGAGGUCACUCCUGCACCCAUGAUGGGCAUAAUUUGGUCACUUCUUAGGAGUUAUAUGUUAAUGGAGCAAUUAUCUUUAUCUUUUUGCACACUUAAAAACUGCAUAUCUAAGUCAAACGGAAGCAGUACAGAAUAGACUCAGUCUUUUAAGUAUAUUGGAAGCGUUUGUAGCUGCGGGCAGCGGCCGUAAACAGUGGCACGUAACCUAUAGAAGGCAGAUCACCCUGACUGUCUUCAGCUCGCCUAUUGAUCGUUAGGUUUCAACGAGUACAAAAUAGCUUCACUCGUUCUGUGUCCUAAUAUUUUUGUGAAUAACUUUUUUAGAUUUAAAUUUAAAGUUGCCUGUAACCUUCAGAACCGCAACGCCCAGAUGAACUCUCGAUAAUGAUCAUAUUAUUCAUGUCGAUGUCAUUGCCUGUUUAAUCGCUAGACUUUCGGAUAUUUCAUGUAAAUAGUUCAGUAUUUCUUUAAAUUCUGUUAUUUUAUUAUGUAAACCUUAAAAUUCCUACUCUUUGUCGGGUGGGUGAGUCUUUUUUCCAUUGUAAUAUGUGCGCAUUUUCGGUUUUCCUAUGGAAAAAUAUAAUUUAUGAUUA
rnacentral:lncRNA from 1 species